UACGUAGGGGGCAAGCGUUGUCCGGAAUCAUUGGGCGUAAAGAGCGCGUAGGCGGUCCGGUAAGUCGGUUGUGAAAACUGGGGGCUCAACCCUCAGAGGCCGACCGAUACUGCCGGGCUAGAGUCCGGAAGAGGCGAGUGGAACUCCUGGUGUAGCGGUGGAAUGCGCAGAUAUCAGGAGGAACACCGGUGGCGAAGGCGGGAUCCUGGGCCAGUACUGACGCUGAGGAGCGAAAGCGUGGGGAGCAAACAGG
rnacentral:rRNA from 1 species